CCCUACGGGGCGCAGCAGGCGCGAAAACUUUACAAUGCGGGAAACCGUGAUAAGGGAACUCUGAGUGCCCGUUAAAUCGGGCUGUCCAUCAGUUUAAAAAACUGGUGAAGAAAGGGCCGGGCAAGACCGGUGCCAGCCGCCGCGGUAAUACCGGCGGCUCGAGUGGUGGCCACUAUUACUGGGCUUAAAGCGUUCGUAGCUGGUUUGUUAAGUCUCUGGGGAAAUCUUCCGGCUUAACCGGAAGGCGUCUCAGGGAUACUGGCAGACUAGGGACCGGAAGAGGUGAGAGGUACUCCAGGGGUAGGAGUGAAAUCCUGUAAUCCUUGGGGGACCACCUGUGGCGAAGGCGUCUCACCAGGACGGCUCCGACAGUGAGGGACGAAAGCUGGGGGAGCAAACCGGAUUAGAUACCCGGGUAGUCCCAGCCGUAAACGAUGUGCGUUAGGUGUAUCGGUGACCACGAGUCACCGAGGUGCCGAAGAGAAAUCGUGAAACGUACCGCCUGGGAAGUACGGUCGCAAGGCUGAAACU
rnacentral:rRNA from 1 species